CAGUCGCCUUCUUGUGCACGCCGCUGACGGUCGGCCAAGCCAAAGAGGUGAUUCUGCCUGCAUGAUGUCCUCCUUGCUGGAGGCGAGCUCUUUGCAGGCGCCACAUCGCGAUCAAAAAGAGAAAGAAAAAAAGAAAAGAAAACGUGGAAGAAGCAGCCAGGAGCUGGGGACCGAACCCAGGGCCUUGCACUUGCUAGGCAAGCGCUCUACCACUGAGCUAAAUCCCCAACCCCCAUCACCUAACUUUUAAACCAAGAAAUGUAGUGUCUUUUUUGCUGCUUGUGUAGCUUUUAGUGAUGUAUCUUAUCUCCUAUUACAUCCUUUGUUUCCAUGAUAGUUGUUUUCAAGUAUAUAUGAUUACCGAUCCUUUUUGUAGACCUAUUCAAUAUUUCUGCUUUUAUUGGUUAAAUAUAUUUAGUGAAUUUGCAUUGUGAUAUCAGUAAAAUUCUAUGUGAAUGUUUUAGAGAAUAUACCGGUUUGUGUAAUUUCCCCUCAAGGAUUUUUGGUGGCCUGUAUUCACAUUUAAAAGACUCGAAUUUAUACCAUCCAGAGCAGGAUUGAUAGGGAAGCACAAUGGACAGUGACAGUGUUGUUCCCGUUGACAGUUGUGGGAGCCAAGAAAGAAGUGUGACUUGCAUAUUUGCGACUAACAAAAUCGAGACUGAGUAUCAUUACUGUUGAAGCCCAUGUAAAAAAUGAUGAAAUUUUCAGAAAUCACCAGUUAAGAAAUCGUAGUGUUGCUUAAAUGGAAUCUGAGUUUCAAAGUUAUGUUUCAUUUUUCUUUAUUCCUUAAUGAAGCUUUUUAUUAAGUUUUUUAUUCACCAUUUCACCCUUAGAUGCACAGUGGUAAGAUCAUAGUAGGUGCUCAAUAAAUCACUUAACCAUCAGGGCAGAGGAAUGGUAAGAAAGUAUGUAUUUUCUAUACGUUCUGUUAGUUUUGGGAACAGGUGGUUUUAGGUUUACCAGUCAUAUCUUGGUAUCUUGUCCCACAUAAGACAACUUGACAGAAUCCCCUUUCUGGCCAUUAUGUUCAAGUUAUUUUUGUCUUAAGCCUUCUUGAAAAUCAUGGAAGUAGUGUAGAAACUUGAUUGUACCUGCAAUAUAGCAAAAAAGGUCAGUCUAGAUAGGUAAGCAGUUAUGUUUCUCCAUGAACUGAUGUCUUAAAACAUGUAAAUUUUAGGAAUUUAGUGUUGUGUUUUCUAAAGAUACAUCAUACAACAUACAGAUAACAUUGUAAUAGAAUAAAG
ensembl:lncRNA